rnacentral:rRNA from 1 species
AGAGUUUGAUCAUGGCUCAGGACGAACGCUGGCGGCGCGCCUAACACAUGCAAGUCGAACGAGAGAGAAGGAGCUUGCUUCUUCGAUCGAGUGGCGAACGGGUGAGUAACGCGUGAGGAACCUGCCUCAAAGAGGGGGACGAACAGUUGGAAACGACUGCUAAUACCGCAUAAGCCCACGGGUCGGCAUCGAUCUGAGGGAAAAGGAGCAAUCCGCUUUGAGAUGGCCUCGCGUCCGAUUAGCUAGUUAGUGAGGUAACGGCCCACCAAGGCGACGAUCGGUAGCCGGACUGAGAGGUUGAACGGCCACAUUGGGACUGAGACACGGCCCAGACUCCUACGGGAGGCAGCA